UCCAUCCCAUAGGUGUGGCUCGUGGC
rnacentral:piRNA from 1 species